CGGGUGAGUAACGCGUGAGGAACCCGCCUCAAAGAGGGGGACAACAGUUGGAAACGACUGCUAAUACCGCAUAAGCCCACAGCUCGGCAUCGAGCAGAGGGAAAAGGAGUGAUCCGCUUUGAGAUGGCCUCGCGUCCGAUUAGCUAGUUGGUGAGGUAACGGCCCACCAAGGCAACGAUCGGUAGCCGGACUGAGAGGUUGAACGGCCACAUUGGGACUGAGACACGGCCCAG
rnacentral:rRNA from 1 species